ensembl:snRNA U6 U6 spliceosomal RNA
GUACUGCUCGCUUCGGCAGCACAUAUACUAAAAUUGGAACGAUACAGAGAAGAUUAGCAUGGCCCCUGCGCAAGGAUGGCAAACUCCUGAGGUAUUCCAUAUGUAU